UGAGGAAUAUUGGUCAAUGGACGGAAGUCUGAACCAGCCAUGCCGCGUGAAGGAUGAAGGCGUUCUGCGUUGUAAACUUCUUUUAUCUGGGAAGAAACCACAGAUUUCUAUUUGUGUUGACGGUACCAGAGGAAUAAGCACCGGCUAACUCCGUGCCAGCAGCCGCGGUAAUACGGAGGGUGCGAGCGUUAUCCGGAUUUACUGGGUUUAAAGGGUGCGUAGGCGGGCUAUUAAGUCAGAGGUGAAAUCUCCGGGCUCAACCUGGAAACUGCCUUUGAUACUAUUAGCCUUGAAUUAUGUUGAGGUUGGCGGAAUAUAACAUGUAGCGGUGAAAUGCUUAGAUAUGUUAUGGAACACCGAUUGCGAAGGCAGCGGGCUAAACAUAUAUUGACGCUGAUGCACGAAAGCGUGGGUAGCGAACA
rnacentral:rRNA from 1 species